rnacentral:rRNA from 1 species
CGGAGGAUCCAAGCGUUAUCCGGAAUCAUUGGGUUUAAAGGGUCUGUAGGCGGUCUUGUAAGUCAGUGGUGAAAGCCCAUCGCUCAACGGUGGAACUGCCAUUGAUACUGCUGGACUUGAAUUAUUGGGAAGCAACUAGAAUAUGUAGUGUAGCGGUGAAAUGCUUAGAGAUUACAUGGAAUACCAAUUGCGAAGGCAGGUUGCUACCAAUGGAUUGACGCUGAUGGACGAAAGCGUGGGUAGCGAACAGGAUU